UACAGGGGGGGCAAGCGUUGUCCGGAAUUACUGGGCGUACAGCGCGCGCAGGCGGUCCACUACGUGCCGUGUGACAGACGUCGGCUUAACCGACGUAGGCCAGGGUACACGGGUGAACUUGAGGCAGAGAGAGGGAUGUGGAAUACCCGGUGGAGCGGUGAAAUGCGUAGAGAUCGGGUGGAACACCAGGGGCGAAGGCGGCAUCCUGGCUCUGUUCUGACGCUGAGGCGCGAGAGCGUGGGGAGCAAACCGG
rnacentral:rRNA from 1 species